rnacentral:rRNA from 1 species
UACGAAGGGGGCUAGCGUUGCUCGGAAUCACUGGGCGUAAAGCGCACGUAGGCGGAUUGCUAAGUCAGGGGUGAAAUCCUGGAGCUCAACUCCAGAACUGCCUUUGAUACUGGCAACCUUGAGUCCGGGAGAGGUGAGUGGAACUGCGAGUGUAGAGGUGAAAUUCGUAGAUAUUCGCAAGAACACCAGUGGCGAAGGCGGCUCACUGGCCCGGUACUGACGCUGAGGUGCGAAAGCGUGGGGAGCGAACCGG